rnacentral:rRNA from 1 species
GACGAACGCUGGCGGCGUGCCUAAUACAUGCAAGUUGAGCGCUGAAGGUUGGUACUUGUCCCAACUGGAUGAGCAGCAAACGGGUGAGUAGCGCGUGGGGAAUCUGCCUUUGAGCGGGGGACAACAUUUGGAAACGAAUGCUAAUACCGCAUAAAAACUUUAAACACAAGUUUUAAGUUUGAAAGAUGCAAUUGCAUCACUCAAAGAUGAUCCCGCGUUGUAUUAGCUAGUUGGUGAGGUAAAGGCUCACCAAGGCGAUGAUACAUAGCCGACCUGAGAGGGUGAUCGGCCACAUUGGGACUGAGACACGGCCCAAACUCCUACGGGAGGCAGCAGUAGGGAAUCUUCGGCAAUGGACGAAAGUCUGACCGAGCAACGCCGCGUGAGUGAAGAAGGGUUUCGGAUCGUAAAACUCUGUUGGUAGAGAAGAACGUUGGUGAGAGUGGAAAGCUCAUCAAGUGACGGUAACUACCCAGAAAGGGACGGCUAACUACGUG